rnacentral:rRNA from 1 species
UGGGGAAUAUUGCACAAUGGGGGAAACCCUGAUGCAGCGACGCCGCGUGAACGAAGAAGGUAUUCGUAUCGUAAAGUUCUGUCCUAUGGGAAGAUAAUGACAGUACCAUAGAAGAAAGCUCCGGCUAAAUACGUGCCAGCAGCCGCGGUAAUACGUAUGGAGCGAGCGUUGUCCGGAAUUAUUGGGCGUAAAGGGUACGCAGGCGGUUUAAUAAGUCGAAUGUUAAAGAUCGGGGCUCAACCCCGCAAAGCAUUGGAAACUGAUAAACUUGAGUAGUGGAGGGGAAAGUGGAAUUCCUAGUGUAGUGGUGAAAUACGUAGAUAUUAGGAGGAAUACCAGUAGCGAAGGCGACUGUCUGGACACAAACUGACGCUGAGGUACGAAAGCGUGGGGAGCAAACAGG